AAGUACCAACCGGAUCUACAACAGGCACUUCCACCUUCUUUCCAACAACUGAUUCUUCUUUAUCCUUUGGGAACACCGACCCAAACACUCAGACACUGUGGGUCACCUUGGUAACAUCAACAAUGCUAAUUACAGAGCUAUUCGUAGGAAACGGGACCUCUUGACCACCUUCUAUCAUUCUAGCAUUAUACUGAUACAACACAGCUUUAUCAUAU
rnacentral:lncRNA from 1 species